CACGUAGGGACCAAGCGUUGUCCGGAUUCAUUGGGCGUAAAGAGCUCGUAGGCGGUUCGAUAAGUCGGGUGUGAAACCUCCAGGCUCAACCUGGAGACGCCACCCGAUACUGUCGUGACUAGAGUCCAGUAGGGGAGCGUGGAAUUCCUGGUGUAGCGGUGAAAUGCGCAGAUAUCAGGAGGAAUACCGAUGGCGAAGGCAGGUCUCUGGGCUGACACUGACGCUCAUGCACGAAAGCGUGGGGAGCAAACAGG
rnacentral:rRNA from 1 species